AUUGAACGCUGGCGGCAUGCUUUACACAUGCAAGUCGAACGGUAACAGGGAGCUUGCUCCGCUAACGAGUGGCGAACGGGUGAGUAAUGCGUCGGAACGUGCCGAGUAGUGGGGGAUAACGCAGCGAAAGUUGUGCUAAUACCGCAUACGUACUGAGGUAGAAAGUGGGGGACCUUCGGGCCUCACGCUAUUCGAGCGGCCGACGUCUGAUUAGCUAGUAGGUGAGGUAAAGGCUUACCUAGGCGACGAUCAGUAGCGGGUCGGAGAGGGUGAUCGGCCACACUGGGACUGAGACACGGCCCAGACUCCUACGGGAGGCAGCAGUGGGGAAGUUUGGACAAUGGGCGAAAGCCUGAUCCAGCCAUGCCGCGUGUCUGAAGAAGGCCUUCGGGUUGUAAAGGACUUUUGUCGGGGAGGAAAUCCCCAGCGCUAAUACCGCUGGGGGAUGACAGUACCUGAAGAAUAAGCACCGGCUAACUACGUGCCAGCAGCCGCCGUAACAC
rnacentral:rRNA from 1 species